rnacentral:rRNA from 1 species
CCUACGGGUGGCAGCAGUGAGGAAUAUUGGUCAAUGGACGAGAGUCUGAACCAGCCAAGUAGCGUGAAGGAUGACUGCCCUAUGGGUUGUAAACUUCUUUUGUAUGGGAAUAAAAUGUUUCACGUGUGGGAUUUUGUAUGUACCAUAUGAAUAAGCAUCGGCUAACUCCGUGCCAGCAGCCGCGGUAAUACGGAGGAUACGAGCUGUCUCCGGAUUUAUUGGGUUUAAAGGGUGCGUAGGGGGAUUGUUAAGUCAGUUGUGAAAGUUUGCGGCUCAAACGUAAAAUUGCAGUUGAAACUGGCAGCCGUGAGUGCAGUAGAGGUGGGCGGAAUGCGUGGUGUAGCGGUGAAAUGCUUAGAUAUCACGAAGAACGCCGAUUGCGAAGGCAGCUCACUGGACUGCAACUGACACUGAGGCUCGAAAGUGUGGGUAUCGAACAGGAUUAGAUACCCCUGUAGUC